AAAGCGCCUGUAGGUUGUUUAAUAAGUCUGUUGUUAAAGACUAGGGCUCAACCCUAGGAAAGCAAUGGAAACUACUAGACUUGAGUAUGAUAGGGGUAGAGGGAAUUUCUAGUGUAGCGGUGAAAUGCGUAGAUAUUAGGAAGAACACCGGUGGCGAAGGCGCUCUACUGGAUCAUUACUGACACUCAGAGGCGAAAGCUAGGGUAGCAAAAGGGAUUAGAUACCCCUGUAGUCCUAGCCGUAAACGAUGGAUACUAGAUGUUGCGUUUAUUAUGCAGUAUCGUAGCUAACGCGUUAAGUAUCCCGCCUGGGGAGUACGCUCGCAAGGGUGAAACUCAAAGGAAUUGACGGGGGCCCGCACAAGCGGUGGAGCAUGUGGUUUAAUUCGAUGCAACGCGAAGAACCUUACCAAGGCUUGACAUACUACAAAUUUCUUUGAAAGAGGAAAGUGCCUUCGGGAAUGUAGAUACAGGUGGUGCAUGGCUGUCGUCAGCUCGUGUCGUGAGAUGUUGGGUUAAGUCCCGCAACGAGCGCAACCCUUAUUUUUAGUUGCUAAUUUAUUAGGUUUUCUAGAAAGACUGCCGGUGACAAACCGGAGGAAGGUGAGGAUGACGUCAAGUCAGCAUGCCCCUUAUGCCUUGGGCUACACACGUGCUACAAUGGUUAAGACAAAGAGUUGCGAGCUCGCGAGAGUCAGCUA
rnacentral:rRNA from 1 species